rnacentral:rRNA from 1 species
UAGGGAAUCUUCCGCAAUGGACGAAAGUCUGACGGAGCAACGCCGCGUGAGUGAAGAAGGAUUUCGGUUCGUAAAACUCUGUUGUUAGGGAAGAAAAAAUGUAUAGUAACUAUAUACAAAAGAGACGGUACCUAACCAGAAAGCCACGGCUAACUACGUGCCAGCAGCCGCGGUAAUACGUAGGUGGCAAGCGUUGUCCGGAAUUAUUGGGCGUAAAGCGCGCGCAGGUGGUUUAGAAAGUCUGAUGUGAAAGCCCACGGCUCAACCGUGGAGAGUCAUUGGAAACUAAUAAACUUGAGUGCAGGAGAGAAGAGUGGAAUUCCUAGUGUAGCGGUGAAAUGCGUAGAGAUUAGGAGGAACACCGGUGGCGAAAGCGGCUUUUUGGCCUGCAACUGACACUGAGGCGCGAAAGCGUGGGGAGCAAACAGG